GACAGAGGGUGCAAACGUUGUUCGGAAUUACUGGGCGUAAAGCGCGUGUAGGCUGCUUCGAAAGUCGGAUGUGAAAGCCCUGGGCUCAACCUAGGAAGUGCACUCGAAACUUCGAAGCUGGAGUCCUGGAGAGGAAGGCGGAAUUCUCGGUGUGAGAGGUGAAAUUCGUGAGAUAUCGAGAGGAACACCGGUGGCGAAGGCGGCCAUCUGGACGACUACUGACGCUGAGACGCGAAAGCGUGGGAGCAACAGG
rnacentral:rRNA from 1 species